CUGAAUAACUGAGCAGAUCGCUUCGGUCUUUGCACCGGCGACGUAUCUUUCAAGUGUCUGUUUUAUCAACUUUCGAUGUUAGUUUAUGUGACUAACAUGGUUGUCACGGAUAACGGAGAAUAAGGGUUCGACUCCGGAGAGGGAGCCUGAGAAACGGCUACCACUUCUAAGGAAGGCAGCAGGCGCGCAACUUACCCAAUCUCAGUACGAGGAGGUAGUGACGAAAAAUAACGAGACGAGGCUCUUUGAGUUUCGUCAUCGGAAUGAGAACAAUCUAAAUCCUUUAACGAGGACCUAGCGGAGGGCAAGUCUGGUGCCAGCAGCCGCGGUAAUUCCAGCUCCGCCAGUGUAUAUCUAUGCUGCUGCGGUUAAAAAG
rnacentral:rRNA from 1 species